CAGCAGCGCGGUAAUACGUAGGUGGCAAGCGUUGUCCGGAAUUAUUGGGCGUAAAGGGCUCGCAGGCGGUUUCUUAAGUCUGAUGUGAAAGCCCCCGGCUCAACCGGGGAGGGUCAUUGGAAACUGGGAAACUUGAGUGCAGAAGAGGAGAGUGGAAUUCCACGUGUAGCGGUGAAAUGCGUAGAGAUGUGGAGGAACACCAGUGGCGAAGGCGACUCUCUGGUCUGUAACUGACGCUGAGGAGCGAAAGCGUGGGGAGCAAAUGGGAUUAGAUACCCCUGUAGUCCCUGUCUCUUAUACA
rnacentral:rRNA from 1 species